rnacentral:rRNA from 1 species
CUGGUUGAUCCUGCCAGUAGUCYACYKUGUCUCAAAGAUUAAGCCAUGCACGUCUAAGUAUAGAUGGUAUACAAUGAAACUGCGAAUGGAUAUCCAAAACAGUUAUAGUUUAUUUGGUAAUCAAACUUACAUGGAUAACCGUGGUAAUUCUAGAGCUAAUACAUGCUGUUGUGCCCGACUCGCGAAGGGCCGUAUUUAUUAGAUAUCAGCCAAUAAGCAUCUGCUAUUGUGGUGACUCAUAGUAACUUAAUCGGAUCGCAUGGGCUUGUCCCGCGACAAACCAUUCAAGUUUCUGCCCCAUCAUGCUUUCGAUGGUAGUGUAUUGGACUACCAUGGCUUUCACGGGUAACGGAGGAUUAGGGUUCGAUUCCGGAGAGGGAGCCUGAGAAACGGCUACCACUUUCCACGGAAGGCAGCAGGCGCGUAAAUUACCCAAUCCUAAUUCGGGGGAGGUAGUGACAAGAAAUAAUGGGUCGGUGCUACGCACCGGGACUGCAAUGAGACGAAUUUAGACCCCUUUAUCGAGGACCAAUUGGAGGGCAAGUCUGGA